GCGGUCGUGGUGGAAUGGUAGACACGCAGCUUUGAGGGGGCUGUGGGCAUUAGCCCGUGUGAGUUCAAGUCUCAUCGACCGCACCA
rnacentral:tRNA from 1 species